UUUUGACAGAAGCCCUGUCAUUUAUUUGACAUAUUGAGUCUGGUGACAAAUUGGCUCACUUCCAAACACAUCGUAAACAUGUAGCGAAUAGGUGUAAUAAUUUUGACCUAUGAUUUCUAUUUAUAUAUUUUUUUUAAACACGAACAAAGUAAAUUUCUUAAUGCCUUUUGUGAGUCAUCUCAUGUAAUAUUAAAACUUAUUGAUCUAACUGCAUAUCAAUUAAAUGCAACGAUGAAAAUAUAGAACAAGGUCACUUCGGAAAACUUAAACCAAACUCUAUUAAAAAUUUAACAUUGCAUCAUGGUCUAAUGUUGUAAAAAUAGUCUCGACAUGCGACACACUUUCUUGUUAGAAGCUUGUUACGGCUUAUCACUAUGGUUACGACAAUGACGAAUCAGUAUAUAUAGAAAAAGAAAUGACGCAUAUUGUUAAAUUUCUCUCCCAUGCACGUGGCUUUGUUUGUUUUUAUAUGCAAAUGAUGUUUUGGUUUUGACACGCGGGAAGUUGGAAAUGUGACAGAAGCAGACAUAGAAACAAAUGUUGACGAAUGUAUAAUGGCUGAAAACAAUGGAAGAUAGUUCUCAACAAAUAUAUCCCGAAUAUGUUGGAAGAUCUUUACGAGUUAUUGGCGAUGAAAUGAACGAUUAUUACUUAACUGCGCAAAAUGGGGGUCGUUCGCCAUGGAUAGUCAAUGAAAAUGUGCGGGAUAAAAUUGUGAAUAUACUGUAUUUUUGUAUUCAUAUUAUACAUGUUGUUUGGUUGGAAAUUUGAAGAAACAUUCCAGAUUUUACAUCUGUUACCCGAAGUUCAAUAAUCGGUAAACAUUGACAUUAUAUAAGUAAAACUUUAUAUACAUUGGGAAAAGGAUUGAUUCAGAGCAUCACCUGACAUGAGUAAUGUGUACCGGAAAUUCCAAUGCGCUUGGGUAUAUUGUGAUUUUGGAAAGACCGGAAGUAGUGGAUUCCAUGACAAUCAGAUAUAUAUCAUCAAUGGAAAUGGUGCAGGUAAAAGGUUUUUCCAAGUCCACUGUGUGUAGGAUUUUCCCAUGUAUAUGGACCUGGAAAGGGGUUUUCCCUAACAGAGUAUUGACAUCGUUAUCGACCAAUUGAUUUUUUCUUUGUUACACGAUCCACAAUCUCUGGAUGCAUUCCUUAGUUUAACAUCGUUUCGUUCAUCUCAUUCACAAGAGAGAUACCGCAAGCUGUGUUGGAAAAAGGCGUAAAAUAGUUUUAAUUAGAAUGUCAUGAACAUUAUUUCAUUUUUCCAAAGGAAUGCGUCUGUCCGAUGUGCCGUUGAUUUAUGCAAUAUCUAUUUUCAUGAAGCAAUACAAAAGAUUUUAUUUCUUAUUCUAAGAACAAAUCUCUAUUUAUUAUGUAAAUGUCUGUCGUUUAAGUGCCUAUUUGUUGGUUCAUAUUUAUGAAACAAUAGAAACUUUGAUUUUAUAACAUUUCUUUGUCUUAUUGUUACAUGUCUACGAUUUUUUAAAUAUAAAAUUUACUCUUCCUAAACCACAAUUCAAGAGAUAAUACUGUUUAUAUAAAUGAAGCGUACAUAAUUCUAUACUUUAAUUGGAUUUAUGUAUCUAUGUUUAGACAAAGUUGAACUAGAUUUUGUACAAUGGUAUUGAUUAAUUAAACUGCGACACUUUUCAUGAAUAUAAACAUUUCCAAAUAUCAUUUACACAUAAUUUUGUCAGCUGAUCUCAACAAAUUGAAUUUGCUCAUUUCAAUUUAUUAUAUGUAAUUAUUUUUAUGCAAAUCGUACUUUUUAAUUUACUUCUUUGUACUGUUCAUCAUAUAAAUAGACAUUUUUCAGUCCUGUAAAUGCACCUAAUGGCAUGCCUUUAUGACUUUGAUAUUUGUGAUUUUGGAUAAGAUCCAAGCUAUUUUUGUAAAAAUGUAUUUCGUAAAUAUAUACACCUUUGUUAUUGAUUUUUAAAAAUAGAAAAAUGCGUUUAAAACGAGACAUUAAAUAUGUAAGAAAAGCCCA